GAACUGGAUAAACAAGUAUCUCAAUGACAUUCCUUCUGUGGUUGUUGUGUUCUAUGAUUUAGACUGGAAUGAUCCUUUGUGAAAUGAGAAAAAGAUGGAAUGUGCGUCUAGAGUGCAAUCUUUAAGAGCUGCUCUCGAUGGAAGAAGUACAAAAAUAGCUGUAGUGUUGAUACAACAUGCCGUUCAACUGCUUCCUGGUGCCAAAGACGUAGUCGCGACUGAGCGCGCAACAGCGGAGCUUGUGAUUUAACAGCAAAGCUUUUGUACAUCUGCCACAUGCUGAUCACUUACUGGGAUAUAUAUCGAGGCUAGAGACGACGUUCUACGAUUUGGCACAAAACCUUUAUCAUCACGAAUAUCAAAAUGUUAAAAGUCAUCGCGAUCAGUUCAGAAUGUUCAUCAAUACUUAUUUG